UACGGAGGGUGCAAGCGUUGUCCGGAUUUAUUGGGUUAAAGGGUGCGUAGGCGGCUUUUAAGUCAGUGGUGAAAGACAACAGCUCAACUGUUGCAGUGCCAUUGAUACUGAAGAGCUUGAGUACAGAUGAGGUAGGCGGAAUUUAUGGUGUAGCGGUGAAAUGCAUAGAUACCAUAAAGAACACCUAUUGCGAAGGCAGCUUACUAGCUGUAACUGACGCUGAGGCACGAAAGUGACGGGGAUCAAACAGG
rnacentral:rRNA from 1 species